rnacentral:lncRNA from 1 species
CUUUAUUUCCAAUAUAUGGGUCCCAUCCCAUUGUAACACUAAUUGAGAACUUCCCGUCUGGAGGAAAGCAGAGAAUGAAUGACAUGUAACAUUGGACCCUAAACAGAACCAAUGACAAACCUGUGAGCUCACAAGCACACUUCUGGAGAACCUGGCUACCAGAGAAGUGUUAUUUCCAAGCUGUAAAAUCACUCAGCAGUCCCUGCAACUGAUGCAACCUUUCCUUUAAGAGAAUAGGACAUCAUGUUCAUAAAGAAACUUGGAUCUCGAACAUACCUAAAAAGCAGCUUAAAGUCCUUGGAGCAAACGGUACAGCUGAGAAAUGUUACACCAGUUGGGUGUCAAUCCAUAAAACCCGUUCUAGAGAAAAUCGUGGAGAUGUUUAAAGACAUGAAGCCAAAGACAAAUUUUUCAACCAGAACCCUCAAGAAAUGUCACUUCUGUGUCUUGCCAAGAGAGAUCCAGCAUUUUUUCUACAUAAACAUCUGCUGGAAACAUUUUAAAGAUGCUGCUUGCCUGACAGAGGAAUGGAAUGACUUGCUGAAGGAGUAG